rnacentral:misc_RNA from 1 species
AUUGAAACAAACGGGGCCAUAACAAAAUUGGGUGUUAGUAAAACAAGUCCAAAAAUAACAAAACUGGAAUUGAUUAUGAGAUCGGUCUGCAACGAAUUGAACCCUAAAACAAACAAAAAUGAGCAGCCAGAUAGUAAGACUUCGAAUGAAUGAGCUCUCACUUCUUCUUCUCACCACCUCCACCGGCCCUCAUUUUUCUUAGAACAUUGGACAUUUCCUCACGCUUCUUUUUAGCUCUCUUGUGAGUUCCAAGCUUUCUUUUGGCUACCUUCAGAGCACGCUUGUCCUUUCCAACUUUCAGAAGCUCAGUGAUUCUCUUCUCA